rnacentral:lncRNA from 1 species
UGUGCCAAAUUGAUUUGAUUUCUCUCUUCUAAUUGGUUCAUGGGAUUGAUUGGUUUUUGGGUAUUUUAGUCCGAGUUUGAGGCAAGUGGUUGGUGGUAAACUGUUCUAGGUUUUUGUAUCUGGGAGUGGUUAAUUUAUGGUGUUCUUCUAUUUCAUUGGAGUGAAAUUUGCUUAACCCUUUGAACUUAACUAGAAUUGAUAGGCCAGAGGAGGGUUGGCCCUAAUUACUAUUAUCUAAUGAGGUCAAAAGAAAAUAUUGUGUUUCAUUGUAAUCUAAUAAAAUUAGACAAAAUUUACUUGCGGACUUUAUUAGGUAGCAUUUGA